GACGGAGGACGCAAGCGUUAUCCGGAAUUAUUGGGCGUAAAGCGUCCGCAGGUGGACAUACAAGUCUGCUGUCAAAGUGCAGAGCUUAAUUCUGUAAAGGCGGUGGAAACUGUAGGUCUUGAGUAUGGUAGGGGUAGAGGGAAUUCCCGGUGUAGCGGUGAAAUGCGUAGAUAUCGGGAAGAACACCAGUGGCGAAAGCGCUCUACUGGGCCAUAACUGACACUGAGGGACGAAAGCUAGGGGAGCGAAAGGG
rnacentral:rRNA from 1 species